AACGAACGCUGGCGGCAGGCUUAACACAUGCAAGUCGAACGCCCCGCAAGGGGAGUGGCAGACGGGUGAGUAACGCGUGGGAAUCUACCCAUCUCUACGGAAUAACCCAGGGAAACUUGUGCUAAUACCGUAUACGCCCUACGGGGGAAAGAUUUAUCGGAGAUGGAUGAGCCCGCGUUGGAUUAGCUAGUUGGUGGGGUAACGGCCUACCAAGGCGACGAUCGGUAGCCGGUCUGAGAGGACGGCCGGCCACACGGGGACUGGGACACGGCCCCGACUCCUACGGGAGGCAGCAGCAAGGAAUAUUGGGCAAUGGCCGAAAGGCUGACCCAGCGACGCCGCGUGGGGGAGGACGGCCUUCGGGUUGUAAACCCCUUUUCCGAGAGAAGAGAAUGACGGUAUCUCGGGAAGAAGCCCCGGCUAACUACGUGCCAGCCGCCGCCGUAA
rnacentral:rRNA from 1 species